rnacentral:lncRNA from 1 species
UGAUACCUCACUUGAGGUUGACAGGAGUGGCCAGCAGUUAGUGCCUAUGGUCAUGUAAUACACUAAGUCAAUACCUGUGGAGUGAAAUCCGGUCUCUAUAAAAAAUACAAAAAAAAUGGCGUGAGCCACCGUGCCCAGCAUGGUAUUUAUGAUUCUAAGUGCCAUUUCAAAAAUCUGUUUGCUCUUUUUUAUUCUCUGGUCCACUAAAGAGUAAUCUUUACUGUGGGCUUUAUUUCAUAUUUUUAUUUGUCCUAAUACUAAGUGGUAGCUUCUCAUUUCUCUGUUUCUUGAUUUUGGAGAGCAAGUCUAUGCUUAUCUAUAGAAAUAAUCAGUUUGUAAACUUAUGUUCUCCUUGAAGAGUUUUUGAAUUUUCAUGUGGC